rnacentral:rRNA from 1 species
GAUGAACGCUGACAGAAUGCUUAACACAUGCAAGUCAACUGUGGCGGACGGGUGAGUAACGCGUAAAGAACUUGCCUCACAGUUAGGGACAACAUUUGGAAACGAAUGCUAAUACCUGAUACUGUGAGAGAGCUUUGCGUCCCAUUAGCUAGUUGGAGAGGUAACGGCGCACCAAGGCGAUGAUGGGUAGCCGGCCUGAGAGGGUGAGCGGCCACAAGGGGACUGGGAAACGGCCCUUACUCAUUCGGGAGGAAGCAGUGUAGAAUAUUGGAAAAUGUACCAAAGUCUGAUCCAGCAAUUCUGUGUGCACGAUGAAGUUUUCGGAAUGUAAAGUGCUUUCAGUUGGGAAGCGGUACCAACAGAAGAAGCGACGGCUAAAUACGUGCCAGCAGCCGCGGUAAUAC